rnacentral:rRNA from 1 species
UAGGGAAUCUUCCGCAAUGGGCGAAAGCCUGACGGAGCAACGCCGCGUGAGUGAUGAAGGUCUUCGGAUCGUAAAACUCUGUUAUUAGGGAAGAACAAAUGUGUAAGUAACUAUGCACGUCUUGACGGUACCUAAUCAGAAAGCCACGGCUAACUACGUGCCAGCAGCCGCGGUAAUACGUAGGUGGCAAGCGUUAUCCGGAAUUAUUGGGCGUAAAGCGCGCGUAGGCGGUUUUUUAAGUGUGAUGAGAAAGCCCACGGCUCAACCGUGGAGGGUCAUUGGAAACUGGAAAACUAGAGUACAGAAGAGAAAAGUGGAAUUCCAUGUGUAGCGGUGAAAUGCGCAGAGAUAUGGAGGAACACCAGUGGCGAAGGCGACUUUCUGGUCUGUAACUGACGCUGAUGUGCGAAAGCGUGGGGAUCAAACAGG